CAUGCUCUUUCUCUCUCUCUCUCUCCCCUCCCCCCCCCAAAAAAAAGGAAAAAAAAACAUGAAGAAACAUUUCAAAAAAAUUAAAAAAAAUUGGUUCUGUCUGUAGCUCACCUCUCACCACUAAUUAGGAACUUCGUAGCUAUCUCAGGUGACUCCAUUUAUUUGUUCAUUAACUCACUCGUGAAAUCUUUAUUGAGCAGCUACUGGGCUUCCUGCUGGAGAUAGAGUGCUGAGGCAGGCAAGCAGGGGAUCCUCGCCUCCUGGGGCCUCGUAAGGUAGGGGGAGUGGGAAGCCAGCAACUCUACGUGUUGUGAUGGGGGUGGGUUUCUAUGGGAACACCCACCUAAAGUAGAGGCACCUAAAACAGAUUCAUCAUCAGAGAAAGCUUUCCAGAGGAAGGGACAUCUGAGCUAGAGGAUACAUGUAGAUUAGUCCACAAAAGGAAGGGAGAGAAUAUGUCUGGGCUAUCUGUUACUGCAUGAUGAACUGCCCCAACACCUCAAUGGCUUCACACAACCACCAUUUUCCUCUGUUUCCCCGUUCUGUGAGUCAAGAGUUUGGAGAAGGCUUGUUUGGGUGGUUGUUCUCCAUGGGGUCCUGAGGCCGUUUGAUAACACUCAGCUGGAAAUUAGUCAGGUUUGGUGAGUCUGAGAGGGCUUCCCUUAUGUGCUUAGUGCCUUGGUGGGGACAGCAGGGAGCCGGCCUCUCUAUAUGGUCUCAAGGACUGUCCAUGUGUCCUCUCUUGUCUCUCUAGAAAAGUAGUUAGUCUUCUUACAAGGCACCUCAGGGCUCCACGAGAGAGGACUUGGCAAGUGCCAGUCUCUGAAGGCCGGGGGCCACGAGCUGGCAGGGUGUCGCUUCCCCUGAGCCCCACUGGUCAAGGUGGUCACAAAGGCUCCCCAGCUUCAGGGGAAGAGGACAAAGAUCUCCCCCUCCACUUGCUGAUGAAGAAGCAUCCAAGAAUAUGUGGCCGUCUUUAAUCUGUCAUCUUGGUGAGCUGGAAGGAGGAUUCCAGCAGAGGGAGCCUGACCACCUGGGGGAAGUGAACAGGACCCCUGACUGCCGGACCUGAGCACACCAGGGCCACCGUCAUGGGCGGGGAUCCCCCACAGGCAGAAGUCCGGUGGAAUAGACCUUAUUGCCACACGUCGAGGAGUCUGGACUUUAUCCUGGACCAGUGGGAAGGCACUGAAGGAUUUGGAGCAGGGGUGUGACAUCAGAUGGGCAGCUGAGAAAAAUCUCACUGUGGGAAAAGGCUUGCAGAGGACCUGGUUGGAGCCACGGACACCGGCAGGAAGGAAGGACCGCAGAACUCCGGUGAGAGAUGUUGGGGAGGUGAGAAGAAAAUGUGAAGAAACUGACAAGAGGAAGCCAAUGAUCUAUGAGGAAAACUAGGGAAGACUGAUCUCCCAGAAGCCGAGUUGGGGGAAGAGAAUCGGAAGAAGGAAGGAGUCAAGUGCUAUACAUAGAUCAAGUAAGUGGAUUGGGAGGAACCACCACAUUUAGGCAUGUAAAUGUCAUUGGUGACUUUGACAAGAACUGGUGGACAGUGGUGGUGAAAGCCUUAUUGGAGUGACGUUAGGAGGAGCAGAAGAGGAGGUGAAGGGAAAUAGAGACAACUUCCCCCCCAAUAUUGUACUUUGAAAAUUCUCAAAUAUGCAGAAGAGUUGAAAGAAGUGUACAGUGGGUGCCCAUAUAACCCCCCCCAGAUUCAUAAUCAACCUGUUAUAGAUUUGCCUUCUCAUGUCUAUCCAUCUCUCUAACCCUACAUCCAUUUAGCAAUCCGCCUUUUUUUAUGUCAAAGGGAUAGAGAAAUGAUGCAGAAUUGGAGUGAGAUGGGGUCAGAAAUUGUAUGUGUGUACACACGUGAGCGAUUGUACACAAUGCAGCAUAUAUUCUUAGGCUGAUGAGGAUGAUCGAGGAUCAAAGUCACAACUGAUGAUGGUAGAGGAGUUAAUAUAUAGAAUGAUGUAUUUGGGUAGGCAAAGGAGUAUGGGCUUUGGGGCAUCACAUGUACCAAUGGGUGGGUUCAUUACAGUAAUGAAAGGCUGGUUAAAAAAUAUGGACAAUUUGAUGCAUGAGAAUGUCCUUUAAUAGUGUGAGAUCCAGCACCUCCAGCACUCACUCUGGACCUGCCUUCUGUUUCCAGCUCUCCUGUGAAUGUGCUGUGAAACUCUGGGAGAGUAGCAUCACCAACCCCUCGGGUCUUCUGGGACCUCUGCUGUAAAAUGAGCAUAAUUAUGAAUAUCAUACUUACACUACAGGGAGCUUUGGAAAUUAUACACUAGGGAUGUAUGUUGUGUUGUUAUUUUUAUUAACAUUGAGCCAUGAGAACAGCUUUGCAGGCUGCUGCAGCUCUGUCCCCUACUCUGUGCAACCCUUUCUCCCUGUCUGGGGACUUUCAGAUACUGAAUGAACAGCUCAGGACUUCACAGACUUUGUCCCCCAUUACAGUACCUUAAUGUUUAUCUGAUGGACCAACAGUAUCCUGGAGGGCAAGAGCUUUAGAGUGUCCUAGAGGACUUGAGUCCAUUUCCACCUCAGAGUGGUGCCUACUCAUUAUACCUAAGGACUAUGGUAUUGGACAAAAACUGUCCUUCAUUCCCCUUGUCUGAGCCUCUCUUUGUUUUGGGUCACUAGCGCAGAGUCUAAGGCCUGCAACUCAUUGUCAACCAUAUUUAUUCUACCAAAUGUGACAUUUUUACACCAAAGUUCUUUUGUUCUUUGUCUUUCCACAUCUCCUUCCACACGCUCCUUCCUUGGAGUUAUUUAUGUCUGCAAAGAAACAGGUGGGUGACCUGUCACAAGUAACCGCACAGAGCAGAGAGAGCCUUGCUGCAAAAACAUACUAGAUAUAUUUAGCACUGCUUAAUUAGAAUUAGCUAUUUUGGAUUCAUUUUCCUUUCUUUAUGGUGAAGUUUAAAAUUAAGACCCAAACACUCUAUGUUUUCACUUUCUGUGAUGGAGAAGCUGAAGGCUUGGAAUCAAGAUGAAUUAGGUUGAAACCCAGAUUCUCUCACCUUGGGCAAGAUAUUGUAUCACUCAGCCUCAGUUUCCCCAUCUGUAAUCUCGAGUUAAUUAUAUUUUUUCUCAUAUGUGUGCUGGAAAUGUUGAAUGAGAUUGUGUUAGUGAAAAACCCCAGUAAGGUGUCUGGAAAAUAACAAGGUUCAAUAGACAUGAUCACGAUGUAAUAAUAAGCACACCACCAGCAACAAUGAAAAUAAUCUAACAACCAUAGUUGGCACUGAGUCUUUGUUGUGUACCAGACUCUUGCUGUUCUGUGGUCUUCAUGAGCUACAUUUACCAUGACAGAAAAACGGGUUGCACAGAAAGUUAACUCUUUGAAAGUUAACUCGAGUGUGUGUGUGUGCGUGUGUGUGUGUGUUUAAUAAUCAGUGGAAUUUAGGUCUCUUUGAAAGUUAACUCGUGUGUGUGUGCAUGUGUGUGUGUGUGUGUAUUUAAUUAUCAGUGGAAUUUAGGUCUCCUACCUCUAUUUCAAUAAAAUCUACAUUUUUUUUCAAUUUAA